CGGCGUAGCUCAGUGGUAGAGCAACGGUUUCGUAAACCGUAGGUCGGUGGUUCAAUCCCACUC
rnacentral:tRNA from 1 species